rnacentral:rRNA from 1 species
UACAGAGGGGGCAAGCGUUGUUCGGAAUUACUGGGCGUAAAGGGCGCGUAGGUGGCCUUCUAAGUUGAACGUGAAAUCCCUGGGCUCAACCCAGGAACUGCGUCCAAGACUGGGAGGCCUGAAUCCGGGAGAGGGAUGCGGAAUUCCAGGUGUAGCGGUGAAAUGCGUAGAUAUCUGGAGGAACACCGGUGGCGAAGGCGGCAUCCUGGACCGGUAUUGACACUGAGGCGCGAAAGCGUGGGGAGCAAACAGG